rnacentral:rRNA from 1 species
UACGAAGGGGGCUAGCGUUGUUCGGAAUCACUGGGCGUAAAGCGCACGUAGGCGGAUCUUUAAGUCAGGGGUGAAAUCCCGAGGCUCAACCUCGGAACUGCCUUUGAUACUGGGGGAUCUCGAGUCCGGGAGAGGUGAGUGGAACUGCGAGUGUAGAGGUGAAAUUCGUAGAUAUUCGCAAGAACACCAGUGGCGAAGGCGGCUCACUGGCCCGGAACUGACGCUGAGGCACGAAAGCGUGGGGAGCAAACAGG